rnacentral:rRNA from 1 species
GACGAACGCUGGCGGCGUGCCUAAUACAUGCAAGUCGAGCGAGGAACUUCGGUUUCUAGCGGCGAACGGGUGAGUAACACGUGGGCAACCUGCCCUCAAGCUUGGGAUAACUCCGGGAAACCGGGGCUAACACCAAAUAAUCUUUUCUUUCGCAUGAAAGAGAAGUAAAAGUUUACACUUGAGGAUGGGCCCGCGGUGCAUUAGCUAGUUGGUGGGGUAAUGGCCUACCAAGGCGACGAUGCAUAGCCGACCUGAGAGGGUGACCGGCCACACUGGGACUGAGACACGGCCCAGACUCCUACGGGAGGCAG